UGACAUUUUCUCCAAAUCGGAUAGUGAAGUGUAAGUCGAGCUUCGCCGCAGGCAACCCUGGGUCUCCGCCUUCAGACUCAGGGUCCCUGAGUGGGGUGCGCUGCCCCGGCGCUGCUAACCCAGGGGACCGGGUGGGAUCCCCCCACACACCCCCACCCAGCCGAGCGCCGUGGGCCCGGCCGUUCCACCAAGUGAGGCCGAGGAGCCCACGUGUGAGGCCCACGCCCGUCUCGGGCCGGGGCACUGGUGCGCUCCGAGCACGACGGGUGGCCGGCCUCGCGGCGGGUUCAAGUGCACGCCCGGGGUUGGAGCCAGCGGCUCGGCGAGCGAGUUCUCUCCUGCUCGGCCCCCUCUCCGGAGUUCAGUGUGCCCCGCUGCUCCUGGGACCCCCUCUCCCAGCCCUCCCAGUCGCGAUGAGCCGCCGGCCUGGGGCGCGAACCCGGGCGCGCUCCUCCCCGGGCCCCAGCCCACGGCGCGGGCCCCUCAAGAGCAACGUGGAGGCUCCGCCUGGAAAAGAAGUCCGACUUCCUCUCCGCGCUGCUCUGGUGCGAUCUGGAAUCGGCAGGAAAUGGCUCGAACACCCGUCCCGCGCCUUUGCAGUCAGCCCUCGCUUUGCUGAAGGGAAGCAGCUCCCACCAAAGUCUUACCGCCCCCUCCCCCACGAAAGACCCGCGCAGUUAAAAUUACCAACCAUGAGAAGGAAAAGUGAUUUUUGGAAAACAUGA
rnacentral:lncRNA from 1 species